CACGGACGGUACUGACAGUUUGAUUUGGGGUUCAAUUGGAAGGCAUUAUUCCCUCUUCGCUUCUCUACCCCACCCCGUGACAAUUCCCUACAAAUACACCUAAAAAAGUCAACAUAGAAGAGACCAUCCCUGAAAGGCCAGUCAAGCUGGCAGCCUCUCCUGCUCACCGCGCUCUCCAAACCUUUUAAUUAUUUAGUUUCUAACAUUCACCGGAAACCGCUCCAUAAACAAGGACAACGGACUCAUACACAUUGUUGCUAAAAGUCCCGAGAUUCAGCUUAAGGAUGGCUGCAGAGGCGGAAAAAAAGAAAAGAAAAGGGCAUCUUUGCGCGUUGAUCUAGGACCCGCCGACACUAGCCGGACCCCAGUUCAAAGCGACGCGGAAAAUACCAAACGGAGCUCUUUGGUCCUCUGCGCCAAGACCUGAAAGUCCAGGAAAUAAAAGGGACCCAUCCUCGGAAAGAGACGCUGCUGACGCCAGGACUUGAAAACGUUAACUUCAGAGGCUAAAGCCGAUUUUAAAAGACAAAGAGAAAAUAUCCCUGAGAAGGAGGCCUUCCGGUGUAGUGGCGCCUCUGAUAAUGCUCAAACUUUGGGGGGAGGUAUUAUUCAUUUUAAUUAAAUCACGAGCACCAAGUCUGGCUGCACUGACCUGAAGAGCCACCCCCAACCCUUGGAAAAAUAAAAGAUCUCGAAGGCCCCUUCUUGGUCUGGGUGGUUUGGAGCUGGCAGAGAGGAGUGGGGGCCUGCGGCUGGGUGCCCGGUGUAAUGGAGCCAGCCUGUAGGGGGUAUUUAACAUUUAAUUCCCAGCCGGUCCGCCCCUGUUCCCGGACUGACAGUGGGUAAUUGGGAAAGAGGACGUUGCUCUUUUGAUGGCCCGCGCCGGCCAGUCUCGCCGACGCCACACUGGGUUUGACGUCACGGGCCCAACCCCAGAGCCAGGAGCACAGAGCUGGGGGGAGGGAAAAGGAGAGGAGGGGUCUACCGAGCAGGGAGGGCCGAGGUCGGCCCCAGGACCCACGCGGAAGGAAGGGGGAAGGGAGCCAGGCGGGAGAGAGGCUGCGGCGCGUGGCCUGAGGCGGAGAGCCGGGCUGCGGGAGUCUAGGCCAGGCCCGGCGCCUGCCUGACCUGCCUCGCGGGCAAAUGCAGGCCGGGCUUCCUCCUCUGAGGGCGGACGGGGGGAGCGUGGGGGCUCGAGGCCCGGUGAAGGGAAGAAAAGGUGGUACUGAGCCCCCCUCUGCCCUAGCCCGCAAAGCUAAUCCCAGCCUCCUGCGGAAACGCCUCAGCGCCCUCCUGCAGAUCUGAAGCCCCCCCUGCUCCCCGUCCCGGGCUCCUAUCCAGGACCCCGGCCCGGACCGGUCUAGAGAGCCCCCGUCCCUCCUCUCCUCCCCGGGAGCGGCCGGCGGAGCUCGGGUCAGGGAAGCGAGGUGGAGACCUAGAAGGAUGCUGCCGCCGCCGCCGCCGCCGCCGCCGCCGCCGCCGCCGCAGCAGGGCCCUGGGCUCCUGCAGAGCGCUAGGCCUCCCUCUCCAGGGCAAGGGGCUGGCCGAGGUCUGGAUGCCUGGGACCCCUAGGGCGAGCAUCCCGGAGCCGAGACGGCGACCGCGCGUCUACCGUCCAUCCCCGGUCGCCCGGAACCGGUACCCGGGCUGAGCGUGGGGCGGCGGGAGCCGGUUGGCCUAUCUGAAACGCCAGGCCUCGAAGCGGCUGCUUCAGGCGUCAAGUUGAGCGGGGUGUGUGUGCCCUCUUGGGGAAAGGGUAAGAAAUGGAGCCUUCCUUUCUCUCCUCGGUCGGGGUAAGCUGGGACCCCCCCCCCCCAACACACACACACACACACACACACACUCCCAAACACAUGCCCUCCAGCUGAGGUCCCUCCCACCCGCCCUCCCGGGAGCUCAGACGCUCUCAUCGGAUCCAAGUGGGGAACCCAAUCCCGCAAAGGAGCCAGAGCCCGUAGCGUAGAGAGGAGGAGCGUGCCCCCCGCCCCAGGCUCACCCCUGGGGUCGCAGGACCCAGAGAGCGGAGAUCCACGUGGCCAGCGUCACCCACCCGAGCCUGGCGACAGGCGCGUCCAGGCGAGCUCCGCGGGGCCGAGGUGUCUGGAGAGCGGCCCCGGGCGCCCGCGCGCGGCCCACCGAGGGUAACCAGAAAAGCCAGCCUCGGGGUCGAAGUCAUAAAGUUACUAAUCCCGUGCAGGGGGAGUGAGCGUGCCUCGGGCCGCCUGGGGCGGUCAUUUGAGCGUGUUUACUUAAGGACUUUGCAAGCGGAGCGCGCGCGAUAUAGUCGGAUUUCCAGCGAGGCAGCAAAUAUUUGCAAGCGAGAGAAAGAAGCGGAGCCCGGCCGCGCCGCCGCGUCCCUCCCCCCGGAGCCGCGGCGCCGGCUUGGGCGGACCCGGCCGCGCCGCUGAAGACAGAAAUGAGGCCGGGAACCUGCGGGGCUGGGGGGCAGGGAGGGCGCAGAGCCACAGCAAAGGCCAAAAACUGCAGUGCAGCCCCUAGGCCCUGGCGAGCUGGGGCUGGGGGAGGAGAAGUCCCUUCCAGCUCGAUCAAUCUUCCUGGGCUGCGAUCGGUCAAUAAAAAUGGUGUGAACCGACCGCGAUCGUUGUGCGUCUGGGGAGGAAGUGGAGGCCAGAGGUGCCGAGGCUGGCGCCAGCGCCCCUCACCAGUCCCGUUCGCGCCCAGGAGGUCUGCAAGCCCCAGGCCGGUGGCCAGUUCGUCGCCGGGAGCCCAGCGCGGUCCGGCAAGGCCUUUAAUUGGGUGUCUCCAUUUUUAUAGUGGCCAUUGUUGGAGCAAUUAGCGAGAGACAAUAAGCGCCAAGAGGCGUUUAAUUCGAUUCCGUGCGCCGGCUGCGGCGCUCUGGAAGAAGUGGCUGGCCCUGCAGGGAAGAUCUGGUUAAGUGCCGGCUCCCUGCCUUGCCAGUCUAGCCUUAGAUGUGGGAGUUCUCCAGGGGCAAGUUGAAAGCGGAGUGAGAGCUUUCACCCUAGUCCUGGACUGGGAGGAUCCCGUCCCGGGUCUCGCUAGCCCCGCGGGGCGCCCCCGGAACCGCCGCGCCUACAGGCAGCACGCGUCCGGCUUGGGUCCCCGAUUACCUGUUAGAGGGAGAAAAGCAAACAGGACAGGGACGUGGAAAACGGCCUCCUUCCUUCUUAGCCCUCGGACCCCCAUCUCGAUCACCCGAACCAUCCCAGUUUCCAUCCCCA